rnacentral:rRNA from 1 species
GAUGAACGCUGGCGGCGUGCCUAAUACAUGCAAGUCGAGCGAAUGGAUUGAGAGCUUGCUCUUAUGAAGUUAGCGGCGGACGGGUGAGUAACACGUGGGUAACCUGCCCAUAAGACUGGGAUAACUCCGGGAAACCGGGGCUAAUACCGGAUAACAUUUGGAACCGCAUGGUUCGAAAGUGAAAGGCGGCUUCGGCUGUCACUUAUGGACGGACCCGCGUCGCAUUAGCUAGUUGGUGAGGUAACGGCUAACCAAGGCAACGAUGCGUAGCCGACCUGAGAGGGUGAUCGGCCACACUGGGACUGAGACACGGCCCAGACUCCUACGGGAGGCAGCAGUAGGGAAUCUUCCGCAAUGGACGAAAGUCUGACGGAGCAACGCCGCGUGAGUGAUGAAGGCUUUCGGGUCGUAAAACUCUGUUGUUAGGGAAGAACAAGUGCUAGUUGAAUAAGCUGGCACCUUGACGGUACCUAACCAGAAAGCCACGGCUAACUACGUGCCAGCCGCCGCUGUAA